GGGAUUGUGGCUCAGCAGUAGAGUGCUCUCCUGGCAUGUGUGAGGCCCUGGGUUCAAUCCUCAGCACCA
rfam:Ictidomys tridecemlineatus contig077559, whole genome shotgun sequence.